CGAGUUAUGUUUUAGAACGUUGGUUAUUUACAUUAACUUAUUGGUUGUGCAAUUCAAUCUAACUUGA
rnacentral:tRNA from 1 species